rnacentral:lncRNA from 1 species
AAAGUGCUUCUGCUUACUAAGAUGGGUCACUUAGCGGUAAAAGUAGGAAUGAUUCCGUGGAUGAGCUAAUUAUUUUUGGUGGGGAAGUUAGGUAAAGUUGGUGAAAUGGGUGUUGUAGGUAGAUGAAUUACUCAAAUCAUAUUUUUACUUCCCUUAGGCCUAUAAAUAGUGAGAUUCUCCAAACUUACAAACACACUCCAAGGAGGGAGCUCUCAAACAUCUCUAUAGAGCUCCUCUCCCUUCUCUCCC